GAAAACAGGACAGCUUGGGUUCAAUCUGGUGCAACAAUUGGUGAACUUUACUACACAAUUUACCGAAAAAACCAAAAUCUUGGUUUUCCGGGUGGUGAAUGUCCUACUAUAGGUGUUGGUGGACACAUCAGUGGCGGUGGCUAUGGAACCUUGGUUCGUAAAUUCGGGCUUGCAGCUGAUAAUAUAAUUGAUGCUCACAUAAUUGAUGUGAAGGGUAGGUUUCUUGACAGAGAAGCAAUGGGUGAAGAUUUGUUUUGGGCUAUUAGAGGUGGUGGAGGAGCAAGUUUUGGAGUCAUAAUUUCAUGGAAGAUUAAACUUGUUCAAGUUCCAUCAAUUGUGACAGUCUUCAAUGUUCCAAAAACAUUGGAACACAAUGCAACAAAGCUUAUUCACAAGUGGCAGUUUUUGACAAGUAGAAUUGAUGAAAACUUAGAAAUUACUGUUAUCUUACAAAGGGUAAAUUCAAGUAUAAAGGGGAAGUCAAAAUCAACAGUACAAGCUAUAUUUCAAGCCUUGUUUCUUGGAGGAGUAGAUAAGCUCAUACACUUGAUGCAAGAGAAGUUUCCUGAGCUUGGUUUGGUUAGAGAAGAUUGUGUUGAGAUGAGUUGGGUUGAAUCAGUUCUUUACCUUUACGGGUUUCCGAAAGACGAACCACUUGAAACGUUGCUCAACAGAACACUUGCUGCAAAGGAUAUUUACAAAGUAAAAUCUGAUUUUGUCAAAAUUCCCAUUCCUGAAGUUGGAUUAGAAGGAAUAUGGCCUAUGUUUCAUGAAGAUGGUGCCAAAGAUGCCAUGGUGAUAUGUUUUCCUUAUGGUGGCAUAAUGGAUAAUAUUUCAGAGUCUGAAAUUCCAUUUCCACACAGACAUGGAAAUUUAUAUCAAAUUUAUUACUCAGUUCAUUGGCAUCAAGAAAGUGAUGAGGUAGAAAAAAUGAAAAUGAAUUGGAUUGGAAAAUUGUACAGUUAUAUGGAACCUUUUGUUUCAAAGUCUCCAAGAGCUGCAUAUAUUAACUAUAGAGAUCUUGAUAUUGGGGUGAAUAAUAUUAAUGGAUACACAAGCUACAAGCAAGCUAGUGUUUGGGGUGUUAAAUACUUUAAGAACAACUUCAAAAGAUUGAUAAAAGUGAAGACUAAAGUUGAUCCUCUAAACUUCUUCAGAAAUGAACAGAGUAUACCUUCUCUCAUGUGUUCAAGGGACAUAAAGAAAUCCUUGUAGCAGAUAAGGUCAUAAUAGAAUAAUGCAAUAUGCUUUUUUAUUUUUCUUUUAUUUCUGUAUUGUUUUUAAAAAAUAAAAGUUUGGCACAAAAAUGCUACACAAAAACGUUUAGUACGUUUUAGGUGGGUGAGCGUGCGGGUAUGGACCGCGGAAAAUAAAAUUGAGGAAUCAAUUUCCGUAAAACAAAAGAUGUAACACAGCAAAAAAAUAAAAUCCAUGGGUGUUAUGCUAGUAAUUGAGUUUGCUUGCAAUCUAGAUGUCAAUAAUGCUUUCUAUGCUGAAUUGGUGGGUGUUAUGCUAGCAAUUGAGUUUGCUCACAAAAAAUGUUGACAUUGUCUGUGGAUUGAAACAUACUUACAAUUGGUGACUAUGGCCUUCAAAUCUCGCUCUAUAGUUCCUUGGAACUUAAGAAACAGUUGGCUCAUUUAUAUCACUAUUACUAGUAGUACGCAAUUUAUUAUAUCUCACAAUUUCAGAGAAGUAAAUCAAUGUGUUGAUAGGCUUGCCAAUCUUGGCCUGCAAAUGGACAUUUAUCAUCGAUGGGAUAGCAUUCCUCCGACUAUUUUAAAUGCUUUCAUAAGAAAUAGAUUGAGUUUACCUGAAUAUAGAUUUUGUUAGUCUAUUGCUGUUUGAUCGUAUCCCAUAGAGUAUGUUUGGAUGGUGUAAUUGAAAAUUUUAGAGAGUUUAAAAUUGUAGGCAUUUCAAAUGAUUAAAUUGAUUUGCCUACAUUUCUAAAUAUGUUUAUUUGGACAGACUAAUAAAAAAUUAAAAAUUUCCUUCAUUUCUAAAUAUUUUGUAUAACUAUUAUAAGAUGGAUGGUCAAGAUGAUUCCCAUGAUUUAGGAAUCAUCUUGAGCCGUAGAUGAUCGUUCUCGGUUGGUAAUACUGAUUGGGAUGGUCACACUGUUGGACACGCGGUUGUAUGACAAACUCAAAACUAAACAAACUGCCUAAACUUCUAUUUAUUAAAAAAAAUACACAUAUAAAAUGUUAGAGCACAAUCAAUCACUUUUACACUUACACACAGACACACUUGUUUUUCACUUUCUGGUUUUGUCACCAGAGAUGAAGAAGAUUAGAAAAAGGGAGAAAAUUUUAGAGAGUUUUAUGAAGGAGAAAUAGGAUGCACGGUCAUAUUCAAUGAAUCACUAAGUUGUAAUUUUCUUAUCGACAUCAUCAAUUUAUUCAACACUUGAAAGAGCUAUAAUUGCUCAAGUACAUAACAGAAAUAAAACACGAACAAACUAGUUGUUAUAACAGAAAACUAACUCUAUCGACACAGUUACUUGCGCUACAAGAAAACUAUUAUUCUUAACUAAUUUGAAUUAAACUCACCACAUAAAAGAGAAAUAACGAAGCAUAUUACAUUACUCUAUUAUGAACUUAGAUGCUUCAAGGAAUUCUAUCUGUGUCCCUUGGACAAAUGUGAAGGUAUACUUUGUUCAUUUCUGAAGAAGUUUAGAGGAUCAACUUUGGUCUUCACUUUUACCAAUCUUUUGAAGUUGUUCUUGAAGUACUUAACACCCCAAAUACUAGCUUGCUUGUAGCUUGUGUAUCCAUUGUUAUUAUUCACCCCAAUAUCAAGAUCUCUAUAAUUGAUAUAUGCAGCUCUUGGUGACUUUGAAACAAAAGGUUCCAUAAAACUAUACAGUUUUCUAAUCCAAUUCAUUUUAAUUUUUUCCACCUCAUCACUUUCUUGAUGCCAAUGAACCGAGUACAAAAUUUGGUAUAAAUUUCCAUAUCUAUGUGGAAAUGGAAUUUUAGACUCUGAAAUAUUAUUCAUUAUGCCACCAUAAGGAAAAAAAUACACCAUUGAAUCUUUGGCACCAUCUUCAUGAAACAUACGCCACAUUCUUUCUAAUCCAAUUUCAGAAAUGGGAAUUCUCACAAAAUCAGACUUUACUUUGAAAAUAUCCUUUGCAGCUUGUGUUCUGUUGAGCAACAUUUCAGGUGAUUCGCCUUUCGGAAAUCCAUAAAGGUAAAGAACCGAUUCAAUCCAACUCAUCUCAAUACAAUCUUCUCUAACCAAACCAAGUUCUGGAAACUUUUCUUUCAUCAAGGGAAUGAGUUUAUCUACACUUCCAAGAAACAAGGCUUGAAAUAAAGCUUGUACUGUUGAAUUUGACUUACCUUUUUUACUUAAAUUUACCCUUUGCAAGAUAACAUAAAUGGCUAUGUUUUCAUCAAUUGUACUUGUCACAAACUGCCACUUGUGAACAAGCUUUGUUGCAUUUUGAUCCAAUGUUUUUGGCACAUUGAACACUGACACACUUGAUGGAACUUGAACAAGUUUAACCUUCCAUGAAAUUAUGACUCCAAAACUUGCUCCUCCACCUCCUCUAAUAGCCCAAAAAAAAUCCUCACCCAUUGCUUCUCUGUCAAGAAACCUACCCUUCACAUCAAUUAUGUGAGCAUCAAUAAUAUUAUCAGCUGCAAGACCGAAUUUACGCACCAAGUUUCCAUAGCCACCACCACUGAAGUGUCCACCAACACCUACAGUAGGACAAGCACCGGCAGGAAAACCAAGAUUUCGGCUUUUUCGGCUAAUUGUGUAGUAAAGUUCACCAAGUGUUGCACCAGAUUGAACCCAAGCAGUUCUUUUUUCUACAUCUAUUGUAAUUUCUCUGAAGUAUGUGAAAUCAAUGAUGACAAAUGGGACUUCAGAAACAUAGGACCGACCCUCGAAGUCGUGGCCGCCGCUUCGGAUUCGAAUCUGCAGGUCAUGUCUUUGGGAACAGAUUAUGGUUGUUUGAAUUUGGGAAAUAUGUUUAGGUGUGAUAAUGACAAGAGGUUUCGGUGUUGUUUUGGAUGCAAAUCUGAGAUUUUGAGUGGUAAAUUGGAGUAUUGAUGAGUAAGAGGAAUUGGUUUUGGUGUACACAAGUUUAGACAUUGAAGUUGAGUUAUGUGAAUAACUAUAGAGACAUUGUAGGAAAUUUUCUUCAUGUUUAGUAGUAUCAAUUGCAGAAUAUGUGAAUGAAAAGAAAACAGCAAUUAGUACAAUAAUCAAAUAUGAUCUUAGAGGAAUCAUUUUUUGUUGGUUAUGUUAUGCAUAUGCUGCUAGAAAAUUAAUUUAUAAAAUAAUUUCUCUCUAGUAGUAGUGUGGAUAAUAGAUUAAUUAAAUUAAAGCGUGCUAAUUAAAUCUAAUAUGGUAGACAAGUCGGGCAGGGUAUGAGUUCGUUAUCAACUUUACUUCAAAUUGGAAAAUAAUUUUUUUGAAACUUAGUUGUAACCAAAUCAUUUGUGAUUAGGUUUUAAUUUGGGUGGCAUUUAGAAUGCACAAGUGAAACUUUUUGUGUAUCAUACACAAAUGAGUUUUUCACCAUUAAUAUAUUAUUAAAUAAUUGAAUGGCCAAGAUUGAAGAAUGGUUACUUGUUUAAUGAGUCUGGUGUUCAAUUGUUGGUAUUUGCCUUAUGGUGUCUAACAGUAAUAGAAUUGCAUAGAUUCAUUUAUGAAAAAAAUAUUACGUAAAAAUAAUAAAAAUAUUGAAUACUAAAAAAGUAAUAAUUUUUAUCGGAAAAUAGUUCAUAAAAUUGUUUUUAUUUUUUGAAACCGUUCAUAAUUUAUUUUUAGAAAUAAUUCAUAUUUUGAAUGGAAAAUAAAAGUAUUAUUUUUUUUUUCAAAGAAAAAUAAAAUUAGUAUUAUACAACUCUAAUAUAUAUAGGGAAAGUUAAGGGUAUCACCACCAUUUUUUAAUUUAGAAUUAGAACAACUGUGAGAAAAAAAUAGAUUUUUUUUUUAGAACAUGAAACUUUAUCAUGUGUAUAUAUCCUUUAACUAGAAUGAUCAAAUGUUUCUUAUUCUGUUCAAGAUAACAAAUAUUCAUUUAAUACAGGUUUAAUGUUCAUGACAUUCUUCAUUGUAAAGAAACCUGAGAAUGUUGUUGUUUGUUUCUACUCCUAGAUGACAAAUAUUCAUUGAUUAACUCACCCAAACUAAAUAAAAUUACAUGAAAAUUAAGAAAUUAUUAGGAAAAAAAUGAAGCUUCAUUUCACACAGAGGAUGUUGUUGUUUGUAUCUAUUCCCAGAUUCAGAAAAAAUCAUUCAUCUUCAACAAUUUGGUGUUCUUUCUGCAAAAUCCAGAUCUGAGAAAUAAAAAUCCAGAAAUCAUAAAACAAACCUAGAAAUUGGUUGGCUUUAAAUCGCUGCUUUAGAUACGGGAAAACUCUAUGAUCUUCAUGGAGAACCCUAUAUCCAUUAUAAUUCAUUGCUUGGUGUUCGUCAAUCAUUUGGGAGUUCUUCCUAAAAUUCCAAAUUUAAUAAACCAUUUAUCUUCAUCUACAUUAACGUGAUCUUCUCCCUUCCCUUUUUCGUAGCAUAAAGGGAUACACAAGAAAGAUUCAUGCCCAAAAAAAUUUGUCAAAAAAGAUGAGGCGUAGAAAAGUUGGGUGGAUGAGGAAGAUGUGUUGUUGGUUCCAUCAAUGAAAGUGAAAUUGUUAGACAUAGUUGUUGCUGGUUGGUAAAGAAAAAAGAAUUUAUUUGAUUUGUGUUUAGUUGAGUAAUGACAAAAAAUAACUGAGACAACAUAUAUAAUUAUUGAGAUUCAAGUGGUCAAAUAUAUAAAAAUAUAGAAAACAGGCAGUACCGACUAUCGUAAGUAGAAGGCUACUUGGGUAUCAUACACAAAAUCAUUGAUUUGUGCAUGUUAAACGCCACCUUUAAUUUGGGUAGGUGACAACAUACUAUUCAGUGGAGUGCACACUUUCACGCUGUGGUUUUUUGUUUUUUGCUUUUGAGAGCUAAUAAUGUUGACAUGUGAUUGUGGCAGUGAUAAAUGAGUCUCACUGAUUUUCAUGUCGUAUAGGGAAAUGUGUUUCUACACUUGAGAACUAAAAUCUCUUCUAUAUAUAUAUUUGCCUUUGCCCGUGAUCUCGUAUAUACAGCUUUAUGCUGGUACGUAUAUUUGUAUUAUCUUUUUGUUUCUGUUUCUAGUAUUUCUAUUUCACACGUUCGUCCAAAGAAAAUUUUGCUGUCCUGCGUGCUUUGUGCAGAUUAGUUGUGGCAUAAGAAAUGCGAAGAAUAUAGAGGAAGAAGAUUAGAACCUUAAUUUGGAGAAGAAGGUGUUGGGUCCAGCCAUUGUCACAUGGUCAUGGUGCAUGUGAAGAUAGAGAGUUGCAUGUUUGUAAUUUGGUGUGUUGCAUAAGAGCAAGUCUUUUAUGUUUGCAACCCCAAAUCAAAAAAUAUUUAGGUAUUCUCACAUAUAAUGAAAAAAAAUUAAAAGAUAUAAAAUUAAAUGAUGUUAAUUGAUGAGACUAAAUUAAUUUUGUUUUAACUGUUUUUAUUUCAUGUGAUUGUGUCCAAAUAUUUUUGAUUUGAGGUUAUAAUCAUAAAAGACUUACUAAUGUAAAUUGUAAAAUGCACGUAAAUGACAAAUAUCAACAAGAAGAAGAAGAAGCAAGAAGCAUACUCUUGCACAAGAGAGCCCUACAAGAGAUAAAGAGCGAGAGCAAAAUAGAUCAUAGUGUUUCUUUGUGAGGGAAAAAUUAUACCCACUAAUGUGUGAAGUUUUUAUGUUCCCAUUAUGUACGGUGGAAGUUUAAGUGGCCUACUGAUCCCGUUCACUUUGAGAAGGUUUUUCUAUGUUGAAUAUUUUUUGGUGUUACUUUGCUCAUUUUAUUAUGUCACUAGGGUUUAUUUUGAGUUCAAGGAGGAGAGGGAAAUUGUUGAGGCAUUUCCCAAUAAAAUGGAGAAACUCAGAUAGGUUGAAAUCUUAAUCACACAUUUUUGUGUAGCAAAUGUGAGGUAAAAAUUGUAAUCCAUCUGGAAUGAAAUGCAAGCAAAACUGAUAGUUGAAAAAUCAAUGUAUGUGAUUAAAAAUUUAGUCUCCAUAUAUCAGAUUUUCAUCUAUCCUUUUUGCUUAUAUUUCAUCCCAAAGGAAGUAUAUUGGAUGAAAUUUUUGAGAGACUAAAAAUAAAAAUUUGAAAAUUUAUAGGGAUCAAAACAUAUUUUAAUCCUUAUUGGGUUGAAAAAUUAUUCUAAAUUUCAUCAUAAUUUUUUUUUUGGUUGCAAAGAUAAUAAAAGGAACAAACAAGAAAGAAAAAGAAAACUGAAAAAACAAGCUUAAUAUUCCCUAAGGAAGAAAGUGCCAGUGACAUCGCUUCUAAGAAGAUUGGCGAGACCAGCAAGGGACGACUCAUAAAUAACAAGGCCAACAUCAAAAGAAGAUUCAAGCUUUGUAAGGAAAUUCGCACAAUAGGUCCCUUAUCUGAGAGUGUGCCAAACCGUAAAAGUACUUUGAAGAAGUAAAUCUUUUAUGUCUUGGAUAAUGACCGUAUAAACAUGGUAUUUCUCCAUGGACCAUUAAUAAAAUUCAUUUAAAUAAGAGAGUCAGAAUAACAAACUAGCUCCGUAUAACCCAAAUCUUUGGCCAUAAUUAGACCAUAAUAGAUAGCCGAAAGCUCAGCCAACAUAAUAUCAUCUGAGUCUAGAAUAAAACAUGAUUUCAUCAUAAAUUUGAUAGAACUAACAUUGUCAUAAAUUUGCUAGCAUUAACUCUAAGACCACCUACGGUGAAAGAUUUUUUUUUCUCCCCAUUUAACAACCUUCUAAAUUGACAUGUGUCUUUAGAAAAAUGAAUGCCUAUAUAGAUGUAUGUUUUAAAUUUAUGAAAAAUGCAAAUUUGUACAUUUAGGGCACAUGCAUGUUGAUAUAAAAAAACAAAAAGAACAAAAAUUCUAGGAAAAAAUAAAAAUUAGACCUAUUGAUUUUCACUCAGUCAUAUGAUGUUUUUUUGUUUUGUUUUGAAGGACUCAGUCAUAUGAUGUUAAGAUUUUCUUUUUUACUAAUGUUAAAAAUGAGUCGAACUUAGUUCAAUAAAUAUCUGGUCAACUUUAUUUUGACAAAAGAAAAUUGAUUAACUUGAAACUCAAGUUAAUUUGUUACAAACAACUUUUCUGGCUCGAACUCACUUAAAACAACUCGCUUCAAUGUGCGGUCUAUAGGGGGAGAGUGUGUAAAAGAGUACUUUUUCAACGUGGGAAGUCAAUAUGACAAUGUUCCCUAAUUCAGACUUUUGUCCAGUGCUCCCUUCUUGUUCUUCCUAUGAUUAAAUUCAAGAUAGCAGUUGGCACAUCACAACUAGGGCCGUUCCUACGAAUUUGGAGGUACGAUGCUGGAAGUGAAAUGAGACCUAUAAUAAAAUGCAACGUUGAUCAAGCUGUAAAAUAAAAUGUUGAGGUUGAACCAUAAAAUAAAAUUAAGACAUAAUUAGUAAUUAGCAACAUUAUCAAUUAUACAUGUUAAAACAGAGAAUAAUCAAAAACUUAUAAAAUUAGGAACAGAACAGUGUCAGUGUUGUUUUGGAAAGGGGAAAACGUUAAUCUCUAUUUGAACUUCUAUAACUUAUAAAAUUAUGCAUGUUAAUCUCUAUUUGAACUUGUCAGCCUCAUAAAAUUUAUAAAAUUAAACCAUAAAUCAGCCAAUUUAGCAAUUUGAAAAACUCAUAAAAUUAAUCUCUAUUUGAAGAACUCAUAAAAUUAAUCUCUAUCAAUCGCUAUUCCAACAUUUAGCAAUUUUAACAUUCAAUAAAAAUCAGCCAAUUCCAUGAAAGGAAGUAAAAUAAAUCAAUGAAAGAGAGGUUAUUUACCUAAGGGAGUAACAGUGUCAGUGUUGUUUUGGAAAGGGGAAAACAUCAAUAGGAUGGUCGAUGAUGAUGAUGGUAUGGUCAAAAAUCGAAUUGGUUGAGAGAUGCAGUCAGAGGAAACGUUUGAGUAGUCGACAAUCGCGUUUGAAUCAUGAAGGAAGAAGAAAAACGAAAAAUUGAUGGUGAGAGGAAUGGAACGCGCGUUGGUAUGUAUCAGAGAAAGAGUAUUUUUUUUUUUAGUGGGGGGUACUGGGCUAUAAUUUUUUUUUAGGCCCAUACCCAAGGGAGGCUCGAUGCUAUAGCGCUGCUUGCACCCCAGGGUCCGGCCCUGGUCACAACCCUUUGAAACUCAAAACCAGAACCAAUAGCAACAUUUUUGUUGAAAUUUCUUGUUCUUCCUAUGAUAUUCAGACAAAAUCUUAAAUCUAUUUUGUUGAAAAAACUGAAAAUUUUGAAGGUUAAUAUCACUAUGUUCGAACGGCUACAUUGAACUAAGAACAUCUUUAAUGGGAGGUCCUUACUUAACAAGGACCACUCCCUGUUAAGAACCCCCAUUGGAGGAAGAAAAAAUGAAUCCCCAUUAAGGAACAGGUAACUAUAUAAGAAUCCCCUCUCUCCUAGGUAACUAACGGAUUUCACGUUUAAAAGAAGUAAUAAAAUAUGUAAUAUGUGGUCCCGCUUACAAAAGAAGUAAUAUUUUAAUAAUUAAUAGUUGUUUUAAAUAUUAUUUUAUCUAUUUAUCAUCAUUUUAAAUAAAAUGUAAUUCAUGCAAAUUAUUAUUAUUUUUUAACGAAUGAAUGUAAAAUUUGUAAUGAUAUUUUUUCCAUUUUCAAAUUAUUAGCAAAUGUGGCAGAAAUUUAAGUUUAUACGAAUAAAUAAAUAUUUUAUAAUUUAAUUUUUUUAAGGAUUAUAAUUAAUAAAUUAGUAAAUAAAUAUUUUUUAAGUUUUUACAAAUGUGGUCAUUUAUAAUUUAGUAAAUAAAUUAUUUUUGUUUAAUGAUGUAAAGUUAGUGGGGCCUAUUUAAGUACUUUUUAUUGGAGUCCUUAUUAGUGUACUCUCAUUGGAGCCAUUGAGUCAUUAAUAUGUAUUUUUAUUAAAAUAUUAUAAAUAAAUGAUGUGUAACAUGGGGUCCAUUUAAGGAGUCCCUAUUAAGGAACUACCAUUGUAGAUGCUCUUACUUAACAAGGACUACUCCCCGUUAAGAACCCUCCAUUGGAGGAAGAAAAAACGAGUCCCCCUUAAGGAACGAGUAACUAUAUAAGGACCUCUCUCUCCUGGGUAACUAACGAGUCUCACGUUUAAAAAAAAUAAUAAAAUGUGUACUACUUGGUCCCACUUGCAUAAAUGAGUAAUAAAAUGUGUACUACUUGGUCCCACUUGUAAAAAGGAGUAAUAUGUAAAUUAUUUUUCUUUAAUGAUGUAAAGAUAGUGGGACAUAUUUAUAUUUAAGUACUUUUCUUUGGAGUCCUUAUUAGUGUAUUGUCAUUAGAGUCAUUGAGUCCUUAAUAGGUACUUUUAUUAAAAUUAUAAAUAAGCGAUGUGUUUCGUGGGAUCCAUUUAAGAAGUCCUUGUUAGGAAACUAUCAUUGUGGAUGCUCUAAGCGUUGGUACGAAGCACAAAGAUGCAUUUAAUUUUAUAUGGUUUAUAUCUAAUCCUUUCCCAACAAAAUCAACACUUAAGGAAGAAAAAAAAUGCAUAAAAUCUUCAAUGUGAUAAAAAAAAAAGGGUCAUGUUAACUAGUGCCCCCGGGGCACUAGUUAAGAAAACUAUAAAGAGAAAAUUUUAAAUUAAAAAAAACACUUUAUUGACUUUUAAGGGAUUGCCAACACAAUUUUCAAUGUAAAUACAUACUAUAUUUAGUUCUUAACUAAACUAGUGCCCCGAGGGCACUGGUUAAGAUUCCCUGACAAAAUAGCAACUCAAUAUGAGAAUUUGAUGGAACUGUAAUUUUUUUUUUUGUAUUACUAUAUAAAUAAUAAAUGUGGGAAAAUGCAAUAUACUCGUAUACGGGUCGGUUUGAUAGACUUUUUUUUAUAAGUCUAAGCCUAGUCUAUUUAGAUUAAUAGGCUUUUAAAAAGCUCAUAUUUAACCUAUUUAUUAAACGAGUUAGACCGAAUUUUUGGUAGGUCGAGCCAUAGACCCUAACGGACGAUUUGACCUAUUCCCACAUGUAACUGAUCUGUUAGAGCACAAUACAGCUCACAAGUACUACAAAUAAGACUAAGAUAACAUAAUUAUAAGACUAAUAUAGGGUAAUUAAAAGAAUAAGAUAAAGUAAUUUUUUAAAAGACCCAAAUUAAAAACAUAUAGGACUAAGAAAAAGUAAUUUGAAAAAUAUUGUAUCAACUGUUAACAUAUGCAGCUCACAAGUACUACAAAAGUAGUACAACGAAGACCAAUACAAAUCAUAUAGAUGUACCGUAAAUAGUGUUUUUGAAAAAUUGCAUGAUAAGUAUUCUCUUCUCUCUCUUUUUUUACUCAAAUAUUCUCUUGAUGAUAAGUAUUAAAAAUUGAAAAAAUUGUAUUAAAAUUUACGUAAAUAAUAUUUUCAUGAUGUCAUAGUGGCCAGCAUUCCCACUACAUAAUGUGAGGCAAUUGAUUAUUUAGAAAAAUGAUAAACCUAAUCACUUGGACUGAAGUUUUGUUGUAACUUGAAGAGGUUGACAAGAGAUUAAUUAAAGCAUGUUGUUCUUAAAUAUUCUCUAAUUCAUUUUGUUUAUAGCAUAUGAGUAAGUGUGAUACUAUUCAAGUCUUCGCUCCUCUCUUUUUUCCCUUAAAUGCAAAUGUAAUGAUGAAUCAAAUGAUAAGAAAUGCUGAUUGAAGCAGCAGACAAAAUAAUCAAACAAAAACAAGAGGGAGCUAGCCAAGCCACAAAAAGAAAUGAAAACAGCUCUAAGUAACAAACAAGCCAAUUACGAUGAAACACAAGACUAAUUAGUUAAUUUAGUAAAAAAAAGACUAAUUAGUUAAUUUAGUAAAAAAUAAGACUAAUUAGUUAAUUAAGUAAAAAAAAUAAGACUAAUUAGUUAAAUUGAUACCAAUUAAGACCCGACCUCUAACAAUGAAGUUUGUCGCAUAUUAUGUAAAGAAGCCGAUGGAGGUACCUUACACUUUCGGUUUAACUUAUUGUACAAUUCCGAAUAAGAUUACCGAAAGUAUAAUUUAAAGACUAAAUUGUUUAGCCUAUGGAGUAUUUCAGAGACUAAACUAAUUAACUAGAUCUUAGUUUGAAUUAGUCGAUUGGACCAACCAACCAAGUUGUAUUCUCUCCAAUUGUCAAUUUCAUAUCUUUAAACUAAUUUUUUGUGCAAGUUAACUUUUUAAUUAUGUUUUGUUUUUAAUCAGAACACCUUGUAUCUGAAUUGGAUUAUGAUGUUUCAACAACAAUUAAAUUUUUUUUUGUCAAAACAACAAUUAUUAGUUAUUAUCCCUUAAAAAAAAAAAAAUUAGUUAUUAUGGCCCCGUUUGGAUAAACAACUUAUAUAGAUGCUUAUAGCAUUAGAGCUUAUAACAUUAGAGCUUACAUCAUAAACUCUUAUACUUGAUAAACUAUUUAUGUUUGGAUAUGUACACUAAAAAGUACUUACAUAAAUUGAAGUGUUUGGAUGUGACAUUACAUAAACAAUUAUCGAAAUUUUAAAUAUUUUUAAUUUAACAAAAAAAAUUAAAGAAUCGAACCACAAUUGUCAAGAUUUUUUUUGAUAAAAUUAAUCAAGAUGUAAAAAACAAUAUUAUAAUAUAUUAAUUAUAAUUAUAUAUAUAGUAUAAUCAAUAUUCGUCUUUAAAAAAUAUCAAUAUUCAUAUAAGACAAAAUUAACAUUUGAGGUGUAAAUAAAUAGUCUAAACAUCAUCAUACACAAGUAUAAUAAUAUAUGAUAAGCUUUCUUUUAAAAAAAAGUAUAAAAAUAUAAAUAUAAACUUGAGAAAUUAUGAUUGUAAACUUACCAUAUAUGUAGAUAUUAAUGUACAGUUUGUUACAAAAAAUGAAAGAUAAGUUAAGUUUAUUUUUUUAUUCAGUUUCAUUUUGUUACGAAACAAAAAAAUAAUAAAAAUCUUAGUUACGUGUGUUACUUUAGUAAGAUAAGUAUAUAACAAUUUUGUUACUCAUGCACAAUCAAAGAUAACUAACAUUAUAAUUAAAAUAUAUGUUUUUUUUAAAACAAAAAAAUAAAAAUAAAAUAUAUGUUUUGAAAAAGUGGAUCCAGAGAGAAUCGAAGGUUACAUAAAUUCAUAAGCUCCUUGUUAAGCCCCGUAAACUGAAAAUUCAGGCUUAUUAAAAUAUGGCAUAAGCAGCUUAUGAAACUAUGAUAAACUAUUUUUAUUUAUUUACCCAAACACCUUUAAAAAGGAUUAUGAGAGUAGAUAAGCCCACAUAAGCUCAAAAUAAGUCAAUUACGGAGCCUGUAUGUUUCAACAAUAUAAACAACGUGAUUCCGAAAGAAAACCAAAAGAAGUAGUUUUUCUUUGAAAAUAACAACUUUUUAGUUUUUAACAAAACAUUUUUAUAUUUUUUUGUACAAAAUUGAAUUUACCACUUUUCAUAAAUUUCUCAACAACGUGAAUUUACCACUUUUCAUAAAUUUCUCAACAAAACAUUUUUAUAUUUUGUUGUCUUAAUCAAUAUUAUAAGAGCACUCUUUAUCAUUAUUUUUUUUAAUUAAUAUGACCAAUUGAAACAAAAAUAAAUUAAACUCUAAUGGUUAAUAAGUUCGACCAAAUGUGAAUCAUUUGAAAAACUGAAGUUUAGAGGGUUAACAACCACAAAUACGACCAAUCGAUUGUCCACUUUCUUUAUUCAAUGUUUGGAAUGGUCUUCCUUCAUGUUUAGCAAGUAGCAGAACUAACAUAUUUUUAUAGUAAGCAAGAGGACUUUUGAUAUAAAUUAAAAUCACUCAAUCAUUCAAAAUGUCAAGAUAACGUAACGUGGUUGACUUUAUUAGGUAGGUAGUAUGUUUUUUAUAUUGAAUAAAUCAUUUGCCACAUGUGGCAUAUCAUAGUACACUAACUUUUUAUAUUAUAUGCACUACUAAGUACCAAUAUAAAUUAUAACCUAUAGAAACAACUCUCGCUUAUGAAUUUGAACAUCAUUUGAUCAAAAUCACAAACAAAAAAUGAUGCCUCUACGCUUAUAUUUGACAAUUGUACUAAUAGCAAUUGCAUUUUCAUUUACAUCUUUUGCAAUUGAUACAAGUCCUCAUGAAGAUAAUUUCCUUCAAUGUCUCUAUAGUUAUUCACAUAACAUAACUUCAAUCUCUAAAGUUGUGUACACAAAAACCAAUUCCUCUUACUCAUCAAUACUCAAAUUUUCAAUUCAAAACCUCAGAUUUGCAACCAAUGAAACACCAAAACCCCUUGUCAUUAUCACACCUACACAAAUUUCCCAUAUUCAAACAGCCAUAAUCUGUUCCCAACACCAUGGCAUGCAAAUUCGAAUUCGUAGUGGUGGCCACGACUUCGAGGGUCUCUCCUUUGUUUCAAAUGUUCCUUUUGUAAUCAUUGAUCUCACAAACUUUAGAGGAAUUGAUGUAGAUGUAGAAAACAGAACUGCUUGGGUUCAAUCUGGUGCAACCCUUGGUGAACUUUACUACAAAAUUGCCCAAAAAAGCAAAACUCUUGGUUUCCCUGGAGGUGUUUGUCCUACUGUAGGUGUUGGUGGACACUUCAGUGGUGGUGGCUAUGGAACCUUGUUGCGUAAAUACGGUCUUGCGGCCGAUAACGUCAUUGAUGCUCACAUAAUUGAUGUGAAGGGUAGGUUUCUUGACAGAGAAGCAAUGGGUGAAGAUUUGUUUUGGGCUAUUAGAGGUGGUGGAGGAGCAAGUUUUGGUGUCAU
rnacentral:lncRNA from 1 species